rnacentral:rRNA from 1 species
UGGGGAAUAUUGGACAAUGGGCGAAAGCCUGAUCCAGCCAUGCCGCGUGUGUGAAGAAGGUCUUCGGAUUGUAAAGCACUUUAAGUUGGGAGGAAGGGCAUUAACCUAAUACGUUAGUGUUUUGACGUUACCGACAGAAUAAGCACCGGCUAACUCUGUGCCAGCAGCCGCGGUAAUACAGAGGGUGCAAGCGUUAAUCGGAAUUACUGGGCGUAAAGCGCGCGUAGGUUGUUUGUUAAGUUGGAUUUGAAAUCCCCGGGCUCAACCUGGGAACUGCAUUCAAAACUGACUGACUAGAGUAUGGUAGAGGGUGGUGGAAUUUCCUGUGUAGCGGUGAAAUGCGUAGAUAUAGGAAGGAACACCAGUGGCGAAGGCGACCACCUGGACUAAUACUGACACUGAGGUGCGAAAGCGUGGGGAGCAAACA